AUGAAAAACAACCAGGUCACAGGCAUUCUUCUCACAGAUCCCCAAGCCAAAACAACAGACCAGUUUGAUUCCCAAGAGACAAGCAUUAAAGAACCGAAACCCAACGCCUGAGAACUUCCUAAAGGAAGAACCUGAGAGCAAAUCUGAACAAUCACCUUGUGAUAUUGUUGGUUCUCAAAACGGCCACUGAUGCCACAGCUUCUACUGAACAGAAACUGCUUCACAUGACGGAGGCUCUGAAGAAUAACACCUCCAGAAAUACUGCCUCAGGUUCCUGGUCUGGGCUGAUAGGAGUGGAACCCGAAGUGGCCAUCCUCCUCAAGCAUUGGCAUCUUUAUGAACUGAUUGACUCCAGUCUCUCAGUACUGAGUUUGGAGUCUGGAGAUUCUCUGCCUGUCCACAGCACCAGCACUGAAAAGGCAAGAGAGAACGGGAAAGUAGUUUAGAUGGCGUCUUCUUUCAUGGUCACUUCUGUUCGAGAUGGAAGACAGAAACCAAACAAAGCAAAAGGCUACACUGCAGUUUGCCUGUUUUAGUCUGUUCCCAGCGCAAGAAUGGUUAGUUUGAG
ensembl:lncRNA